AAACUUGAGAGUUUGAUCAUGGCUCAGAACGAACGCUGGCGGCAGGCCUAACACAUGCAAGUCGAACGGAUGUAGCAAUACAUUAGUGGCGCACGGGAGAGUAACGCGUGGGAACCUACCUUUUGGUUUGGGAUAACGUCGGGAAACUGACGCUAAUACCAGAUAAGCCCUCCGGGGGAAAGAUUUAUCGCCAAUAGAUGGGCCCGCGUUAGAUUAGCUAGUUGGUGGGGUAACGGCCUACCAAGGCAACGAUCUAUAGCUGGUCUGAGAGGAUGACCAGCCUCACUGGGACUGAGACACGGCCCAGACUCCUACGGGAGGCAGCAGUGGGGAAUAUUGGACAAUGGGGGAAACCCUGAUCCAGCCAUGCCGCGUGAAUGAUGAAGGCCUUCGGGUUGUAAAGUUCUUUUGGCGGGGACGAUGAUGACGGUACCCGCAGAAUAAGCCCCGGCUAACUUCGUGCCAGCAGCCGCGGUAAUACGAAGGGGGCUAGCGUUGUUCGGAAUUACUGGGCGUAAAGGG
rnacentral:rRNA from 1 species